rnacentral:rRNA from 1 species
UACGGAGGGGGCUAGCGUUGUUCGGAAUUACUGGGCGUAAAGCGCGCGUAGGCGGAUCUGCAAGUCGGGGGUGAAAUCCCCGAGGCUCAACUCCAGAACUGCCUUUGAUACUGGCAAUCUCGAGUCCGGGAGAGGUGAGUGGAACUGGCGAGUGUAGAGGUGAAAUUCGUAGAUAUUCGCAAGAACACCAGUGGCGAAGGCGGCUCACUGGCCCGGUACUGACGCUGAGGUG